GACGAACCGUGCGAACGUUGUUCGGAAUCACUGGGCUUAAAGGGCGCGUAGGCGGGCUGACAAGUCUGGGGUGAAAUGCCGCGGCUCAACCGUGGAACUGCCUUAGAUACUGUCGGCCUCGAGGAAGGUAGGGGCAUGCGGAACUGUAGGUGGAGCGGUGAAAUGCGUUGAUAUCUACAGGAACUCCGGUGGCGAAAGCGGCGUGCUGGACCUUUUCUGACGCUGAGGCGCGAAAGCUAGGGGAGCAAACGGGGAUUAAGAAACCC
rnacentral:rRNA from 1 species